AACAGUUGAUGACGAAGACAAUGACGAAUACUUAUGUCGUGAUUUUUCUGUCGGCUUCACUCAGUGAACUCUAUAUAUAGAUAUCUGGAAUGAUAACAGCGAGCGAAAAGUGAAGCCGACAAAAAAAUCACGACAUAAGUAUUCGUCAUUGUCUUCGUCAUCA